GACCCCAGGUCAGGCGGGACUACCCGCUGAGUUUAAGCAUAUCAAU
rnacentral:rRNA from 1 species